rnacentral:rRNA from 1 species
AUACGAGAGUCAGCAGUAGCGACUCUUCUUCAAUGCCGAAAACGUGACGGAGCAACUCCGCGCGAGUGAUGAAGAUCUUCGGAUCGUAAAACUUGUUGUUAGGGAAGAACAAAAACCUCAGUAUCUGAACAAGUCUCGACUGUACCUCACCAGAAAGCCAGUGUCUACCUAGGUGCCAGCAGCCGCGGUAAUAGGUAGGAGGCCAGCGUUAUCAGGAAUUAUGGGGGGUAAAGCGCGCACAGUCGGCUUUUUUAGUUUGAUGCGAAAGCCCACGGCUCAACCGAGCAGGGUCAUCGACACGCUGAAACCCGAGUGCAGAAGUGGAGAGUCGAAUUCCAUGUGUAGCCGUGAAAUUUCCAGAGAUUUUGAGGAACACCAGUGGCGAAGCAGGCUAUUUCGUUUGUAUCUUACGCUGACGAGUGAAAGCGUGGGCAUCAAACAGGCUCGGAUGCCCUGGUAGUCCACGCCUCAAACGAAGAGUGCUAAGUGUUAGGGGGUUUCCGCCCAUAAUUGCGGCAGACAACGCACUCAGCACUCCGCCCGGGGAGUACGACCGCAAGGUUGAAACUCAAAUGAAUUGACGGGGACCCGCGCAAGCGGCGGAGCAUGUGGUAUAAGUUCAAGCAACAAGAAGAACCUUACCAUAUCAAGACAUCCUUCACCGCUC